rnacentral:rRNA from 1 species
AGUCGAACGAUGAACCACUUCGGUGGGGAUUAGUGGCGAACGGGUGAGUAACACGUGGGCAAUCUGCCCUGCACUCUGGGACAAGCCCUGGAAACGGGGUCUAAUACCGGAUACGAGCCUCCUCCGCAUGGUGGGGGUUGGAAAGCUCCGGCGGUGCAGGAUGAGCCCGCGGCCUAUCAGCUUGUUGGUGAGGUAACGGCUCACCAAGGCGACGACGGGUAGCCGGCCUGAGAGGGCGACCGGCCACACUGGGACUGAGACACGGCCCAGACUCCUACGGGAGGCAGCAGUGGGGAAUAUUGCACAAUGGGCGAAAGCCUGAUGCAGCGACGCCGCGUGAGGGAUGAAGGCCUUCGGGUUGUAAACCUCUUUCAGCAGGGAAGAAGCGAAAGUGACGGUACCUGCAGAAGAAGCGCCGGCUAACUACGUGCCAGCAGCCGCGGUAAUUCAAA